rnacentral:rRNA from 1 species
GAUGAACGCUGGCGGCGUGCCUAAUACAUGCAAGUCGAGCGAAUGGAUUAAGAGCUUGCUCUUAUGAAGUUAGCGGCGGACGGGUGAGUAGCACGUGGGUAACCUGCCCAUAAGACUGGGAUAACUCCGGGAAACCGGGGCUAAUACCGGAUAACAUUUUGAACCGCAUGGUUCGAAAUUGAAAGGCGGCUUCGGCUGUCACUUAUGGAUGGACCCGCGUCGCAUUAGCUAGUUGGUGAGGUAACGGCUCACCAAGGCAACGAUGCGUAGCCGACCUGAGAGGGUGAUCGGCCACACUGGGACUGAGACACGGCCCAGACUCCUACGGGAGGCAGCAGUAGGGAAUCUUCCGCAAUGGACGAAAGUCUGACGGAGCAACGCCGCGUGAGUGAUGAAGGCUUUCGGGUCGUAAAACUCUGUUGUUAGGGAAGAACAAGUGCUAGUUGAAUAAGCUGGCACCUUGACGGUACCUAACCAGAAAGCCACGGCUAACUACGUGCCAGCCGCCGCAGUAAUAC